CUCAAUUUGAGCUCAAGAACACUAGGGCUGCGUUUGGUUCGGGUAUAAGUAACAACUGUUUAUUCCAGAAAUAGGUACAAGUUCAGGUAUAAGCAGGAUCUAGACCAAUUUUGUGUUUGGAUGAAAAUUAGGUUAUUCCUAGAAAUAAGGUAAAUAGUGUUUAGAUGGUUAGAUUGGAACAAGAUGAAUAAGAGUUACAAAUUGAAAUUAAAAUUAUAUUAUGUAAUUAAUUAACAUCAAACUAUUACUUAAAAAUAAAUAAAUAAUUAAUUAUUAAUAAUUAAUUAUAAUUAUUAAUAAUUAUUAAUAAUUAUUAAUAAUUAUUAAUAAAUAAUAAUAAUUAUUAUUAAUUAUAAAUAAUAAAUUAAUAAUAAUAUCGAUUAUCAUUAAGAAUAAUUAUUAUUAUUAAUUAUUAAUAAAUAAUAAUAAAUAUUAUUAAUUAUUAAUAAAUAAUUAUAAAUAAUAAUAAAUUAAUAAUAAUAAUUAUCUAAUUUUUAAUCAUUAAUUAUAAAUAAUAAAUUAAUUAACUAUUUAAUUAUUAAAGUAAUAAAUAAUGAUUAAAAUAUAUUAAUUAGAUUAAUUAAUAAUUUACUGUCAUUAAAAUUAAAGUUAUACUUUAAUUAAUCUUGUUCUCACCAAGGAACAAGCUUGUUCUACAAAAAAGGUGGAACAACACUUCCAGCCUUAUACUAGCUUGUUCGAGAAACUCGGGAACUACUGUUCCCGGGUACAAAACAUAACGUUUGGGAACAAAAGGGGGAACAAAGGUUUAUUUCCUCCUUGUUCCCGAA
rnacentral:lncRNA from 1 species